CCUUGACUACAAUAAUGUAGACAUUUGCCACGACAAGGAGAAAUAACAUG
rnacentral:ncRNA from 1 species